rnacentral:tRNA from 1 species
GCCUUCGUGGUGUAGUAGUCAGCACGCUCGACGCGUAUUCGAGAGGUCCGUGGUUCGACUCCCGGCGAGGGCG